rnacentral:rRNA from 1 species
UUGUCCUACGGGACGCAGCAGUGAGGAAUAUUGGUCAAUGGGCGGGAGCCUGAACCAGCCAAGUCGCGUGAGGGAUGACGGUCCUACGGAUUGUAAACCUCUUUUGCCGGGGAGCAAGCGUGCGUUCGUGAACGCGCGUCGAGAGUACCUGAAGAAAAAGCAUCGGCUAACUCCGUGCCAGCAGCCGCGGUAAUACGGAGGAUGCGAGCGUUAUCCGGAUUUAUUGGGUUUAAAGGGUGCGCAGGCGGAGGCACAAGUCAGCGGUAAAAUCGCGGGGCUCAACCCCGCUCCGCCGUUGAAACUGU